GUCUGUCUGUCUUUCGUUUCCAGCGGGCACAAGGCCAAGGUUCCAAGCCAUCCCAAACAGAUUCCACGUUGGCCCGCCAUAUUAGCAAAUCAAGUGAGUUAACGAAGCAACUCAAGUUUCACUUCCAACAUAUGGUGUUAUUAUUGCAGGCUAUAGCACUCUGAUUAAACGGACUCCCGGGCCCUCCUGAGGAUUCACUGAGAGUCCCACGUGAUGGCGGGCUGCUGGCUCCCGUCAUUCCAGCACGGAU
rnacentral:misc_RNA from 1 species